UACGUAGGGUGCAAGCGUUAAUCGGAAUUACUGGGCGUAAAGCGUGCGCAGGCGGUUUUGUAAGUCUGACGUGAAAUCCCCGGGCUCAACCUGGGAAUUGCGUUGGAGACUGCAAGGCUAGAAUCUGGCAGAGGGGGGUAGAAUUCCACGUGUAGCAGUGAAAUGCGUAGAGAUGUGGAGGAACACCGAUGGCGAAGGCAGC
rnacentral:rRNA from 1 species